rnacentral:rRNA from 1 species
UACGGAGGGUGCGAGCGUUGUCCGGAAUCAUUGGGCGUAAAGGGCGCGUAGGUAGCCACUUCAAGCGUGCGGUGAAAGUCGGGGGCUCAACCCCUGAUCGGCCGUGCGAACUGGGGGGCUGGAGCACUGUAGAGGCAGGCGGAAUUCCGGGUGUAGCGGUGGAAUGCGUAGAGAUCCGGAAGAACACCGGUGGCGAAGGCGGCCUGCUGGGCAGUUUUGCUGACACUGAGGCGCGACAGCGUGGGGAGCAAACAGG